rnacentral:rRNA from 1 species
AGGACGAACGCUGGCGGCGUGCUUAACACAUGCAAGUCGAGCGGAAAGGCCCUUCGGGGUACUCGAGCGGCGAACGGGUGAGUAACACGUGAGCAACCUGCCCCUGGCUCUGGGAUAGCUCCGGGAAACCGGGAUUAAUACCGGAUAUGACCCCCUUCUGCAUGGUGGGGGGUGGAAAGUUUUUCGGCUGGGGAUGGGCUCGCGGCCUAUCAGCUUGUUGGUGGGGUGAUGGCCUACCAAGGCGACGACGGGUAGCCGGCCUGAGAGGGCGGACGGCCACACUGGGACUGAGACACGGCCCAGACUCCUACGGGAGGCAGCAGUGGGAAUAUUGCGCAAUGGGCGGAAGCCUGACGCAGCGACGCCGCGUGGGGAUGAAGGCCUUCGGGUUGUAAACCUCUUUCAGCAGGGGCGAAGCGAGAGUGACGGUACCUGCAGAAGAAGCGCCGGCUAACUACGCGCCAGCAGCCGC